rnacentral:ncRNA from 2 species
CUUCCGAGGAGCGCUGCAAGGGUAGUUUCCGCUUACCCCCCAGGCUCGGGCCAUCUUCAAACUGCGCUCACCUAAC